AGUUCCUGUCAUAGGAUUUGUCUGCCAUUUUAAAAGAUUUUGAAUUAUUAUCAUCGUUAAUAUUCAAAAAAAUAGUUAGGCGUUGUUUGUAAAAAAAAUGAUAAAACAAAUAGUUAUAAUUUUGGUGACAUUUUGUUCUAUAGUUUAUUGUUCAGAAAAGGUUCCAAUGAAAGAAAUCACAAGUGCGUUUAAAGAAAUGGACGCUAAUGCCGAUGGAAAGGUGGUACUACAAGAGACUAUAUCUUACAUGGAGAAGAAGAAACAAAUACCAGAGUCGGAUCACAAAAACAUGGCAGAAUCUAUUUUUACUUUUUACGACAAAAACAAAGAUGGUCAUAUAGUUUUGUCAGAAUUUUUACCUCAUGAUGAAUUGUAAUACAGACACGUACUAAAUCUGGAAGCGCAUCAGUACUAGUGUGCGUAUUUGAAAAAAAGAACUCGAAAGACAUCCGCACUAUGUAAUAUUAUACCCGCCAUUGCGAGCUUGACAUUAAAAUGAUACUAUUUUCA